rnacentral:pre_miRNA from 1 species
GGAAAGUAAUUUUAAUAUUUUGAGUAUUUUUUCGUAUACCGAACAGAUCAUCGUUGACUUUCGGUAACGAAGAAUACUUGGAAUUGAGAAAUUUAUUCGUCG